GGGUAAGUCUUAUACGACCAGCUCCUGCUGAACUCCCCCAGGACCGGAAGGUAGCAAGGGUAGGCGGUUGUAGCGGUGCGAUAU
rnacentral:SRP_RNA from 1 species